rnacentral:lncRNA from 1 species
ACACGAUGACGAGACCAAGAGUACGCACUUGGUGACUGCGUUAUGGUGUGGACACCGAUUCGUCGCCGCGGGCUUAGUGAGAAGCUCCUGCGCCGCUACUUCGGGCCCUACAAGAUAAGUCGACGACUUGGACCGCUAGUCUACGAGGUUGUGCCCGAUGGAGUGACACCGUCACAGUGACGUCGCGCGCGACCUGAGAUGGUCCACGUUGCGCGCCUCAAAAAGUUCUUUGAGCGUUAGCGGACUAACGAACAUUUUUUUUUUUCGUUACAUUAGUAUUUGC